rnacentral:rRNA from 1 species
GUACACGCUGUGACUAGCAUAUCAAUAAGCGGAGGAAAAGAAACUAACAAGGAUUCCCCUAGUAACGGCGAGUGAAGCGGGAAGAGCUCAAAUUUGAAAUCUUAAAGGGUUUCCCUUUACGAAUUGUAGUUUAAAGAAGUGUUUUCUGUUGAGGUUUUGGUAAAAGUUCUUUGGAAUAGAACAUCAUAGAGGGUGAGAAUCCCGUAUUUGACCUUUACUUUCAACUUUGUGAUACACUUUCAAAGAGUCGGAUUGUUUGGGAAUGCAGUCCAAAAUGGGUGGUAAAUUUCAUCUAAAGCUAAAUAUUGGCGAGAGACCGAUAGCGAACAAGUACCGUGAGGGAAAGAUGAAAAGAACUUUGAAAAGAGAGUUAAACAGUACGUGAAAUUGUCAAAAGGGAAGCGUUUGACACCAGUGUUGUUUUUCUGAAAAUCAAUUAAAGAACUGUUUAUGCUAAGCUGUUUAGACUUUAUCAGCUAUCUGUUUAGUUUUGAGCUUUUCUUUAAUGCACUUUUCAGUUAACAAGUCAACAUCAAUUUCUUUUGCUGUAAAAAAGCUUGAGGAAGGUGGCUUGAGAUUCGUCUUAAGUGUUUAUAGCCUCUUGCCUAUGCAGUCGGAGAGAUUGAGGUCUGCAGCGUAGAUCCUUCGGGGCUAAAUGCAUUUGUGCUAAGUUAUAACAUUUUAUAGACAACUUGUUGACUAUGAUUUGUCUUGUAGCUUACUCGCUUAUGUUAUUUUACCUACGCUUAGGAUGUUGACGCGCGUGUGUGCGU